UACGUAGGGGGCGAGCGUUGUCCGGAUUUAUUGGGCGUAAAGAGCGUGUAGGCGGCCAGGUAGGUCUGCUGUGAAAACUCGAGGCUCAACCUCGAGACGUCGGCGGAAACCAUCUGGCUAGAGUCCGGAAGAGGAGAGUGGAAUUCCGAGUGUAGAGGUGAAAUUCGUAGAUAUUCGGAAGAACACCAGUGGCGAAGGCGACUCGCUGGACAAGUAUUGACGCUGAGGUGCGAAAGCGUGGGGAGCAAACAGG
rnacentral:rRNA from 1 species